rnacentral:rRNA from 1 species
CCUACGGGUGGCAGCAGUGAGGAAUAUUGGUCAAUGGACGGAAGUCUGAACCAGCCAUGCCGCGUGCAGGAAGACGGCCCUAUGAGUUGUAAACUGCUUUUGUACAAGGGUAAACCUGCAUACGUGUAUUCAGCUGAAUGUACUGUACGAAUAAGGAUCGGCUAACUCCGUGCCAGCAGCCGCGGUAAUACGGAGGAUCCAAGCGUUAUCCGGAUUUAUUUGGUUUAAAGGGUGCGUAGGCGGAUUGUUAAGUUAGAGGUGAAAUGUCCGAGCUCAACGCGGGAACUGCCUUUAAGACUGUUGAUCUAGAGAGUAGGUGCGGUAGGCGGAAUGUAUGGUGUAGCGGUGAAAUGCUUAGAGAUCAUAAAGAACACCGAUUGCGAAGGCAGCUUACCAGUCUAUAUCUGACGUUGAGGCACGAAAGCGUGGGGAGCAAACAGGAUUAGAUACCCUGGUAGUC